UACAGAGGGGGCAAGCGUUAUUCGGAAUUAUUGGGCGUAAAGGGCUCGUAGGCGGUUUGUCGCGUCGGGAGUGAAAACCUUGGGCUUAACUCAGGGCUUGCUUUCGAUACGGGCAGACUAGAGGUAUGCAGGGGAGAACGGAAUUCCUGGUGUAGCGGUGAAAUGCGCAGAUAUCAGGAGGAACACCGGUGGCGAAGGCGGUUCUCUGGGCAUGAUCUGACGCUGAGGAGCGAAAGUGUGGGGAGCGAACAGG
rnacentral:rRNA from 1 species